CGCGCAAUUAUAAAAGAAAAUUUUCAGAACUCAAACGUCAUGAUGAGGGGCAAACACCCAACUUUUAUGAAACCAAAAAACGAGAGGUAUCUGGCCGGACAAAAGACAAUGAAUGCGAUCAAGAAGAGUUGGCGCUUUCUGAUAUUCUAAUGGUUAUUCAAGUUCUGUGCUCUCAAUUUCCCAAGAACGAAGAAUCGCUCAAUGGGAUCAUCCCGGUCGUUUUAAAUUCGCAGAUUUAUUAUUCAAUCGUCGAUAAAACUUUCGUCGAUAGAGAAGUGAGCCGCUUGCAGCGCACAGGCCAAAUUCGUAUAUUUGGCAUUCCUGAGUCUCAGCUAAAAGAAUGCGCUAUCGUACUAUCUACUGACUUGGUCGCCCUGAUUCAGAAGCUCGAAGAUAACGAAAACUGCUUCGAGGCUAAACGGAUUUUUAGCGCGUUUACGCGAGUCAUAAGUUCAUAUUAUUUAACACACAUAUCAACUAAUGAGCUGAUAAAGAGACUAGGAAUAAAUGAUUCAGACAGAGAAAAGUACCUUUCAAUGCUUCUCCAUUCUGGACUUAUUGGGAGACGAGAUGUUCACUCCUAUUGGUUCACUAUCCCAAAUUUUGGAUCUUUGUAUAAGUGGGUUUUGAAGGGAAGAGAAUUCAUAAAAGACAUACUGAGGCGUUGCAAAUUUCAAGAAAUGACACAAGAUCAACUUUUACAAAAAAGGCUGAGAAAAGACCCUUUCAAUAUGCUGUUUCACUUAAAAGAUGCCAUUGGAUUGGGUAUUGUAUUGAGGUAUGCACACUCUCUAUAAUUCUUGUGCUGUGAAGCAAAAGACAGGUACAAGCAUGCUAACCAUUUUGUACCAAGACUGGAAGGGCCUUCAGAAGUGCUGAUACACCUUGAGUCACAAUAAAUCAAAAUUGUGCAUAUCUUUGUCUCUCAAUAUUAUAUACAUAAACGUAAACAUAGAGGUGCUGCUCCGUCAGCAGAGAUUCACCUAGAUGUAUUAUUGUGUCAGGCUUGCUAUUUCGCGAGGGAUGCAAGAUCUGAUUUUUAACAGUAAUUUACAUUG